GUCUCUAAACCGAGCAUAUCGAUAGGCUAGUUUACCGUUACCGUUAAAUGCAGUGUUGCUUUGUACAACCGUGGUCUUUUAUGUGAUUGAUUUGAAUCUCUAUCGUUCCAAAUGUUAGUCUACAUUAAGAGGCGUGUCGAAAUAAGCGCAGAGCAGCGAUGCGAUCCUACACGGUUCCCUCUCCCGUUGGGCAUGUGAGGGAUACGGUGUUACUAUUGAGGUCCCGGUGUUGUCCUACACGGUUCCCUCUCCCGUUGGGCAUGUGAGGGAUACGGUGUUACUAUUGAGGUCCCGGUGUUGUCCUACACGGUUCCCUCUCCCGUUGGGCAUGUGAGGGAUACGGUGUUACUAUUGAGGUCCCGGUGUUGUCCUACACGGUUCCCUCUCCCUUUGGGCAUGUGAGGGAUACGGUGUUACUAUUGAGGUCCCGGUUCCCUCUCCCGUUGGGCAUGUGAGGGAUACGGUGUUACUAUUGAGGUCACGGUUCCCUCUCCCAUUGGGCAUGUGAGGGAUACGGUGUUACUAUUGAGGUCCCGGUGUUGUCCUACACGGUUCCCUCUCCCGUUGGGCAUGUGAGGGAUACGGUGUUACUAUUGAGGUCCCGGUGUUGUCCUACACGGUUCCCUCUCCCGUUGGGCAUGUGAGGGAUACGGUGUUACUAUUGAGGUCCCGGUGUUGUCCUACACGGUUCCCUCUCCCGUUGGGCAUGUGAGGGAUACGGUGUUACUAUUGAGGUCCCGGUGUUGUCCUACACGGUUCCCUCUCCCGUUGGGCAUGUGAGGGAUACGGUGUUACUAUUGAGGUCCCGGUGUUGUCCUACACGGUUCCCUCUCCCGUUGGGCAUGUGAGGGAUACGGUGUUACUAUUGAGGUCCCGGUGUUGUCCUACACGGUUCCCUCUCCCGUUGGGCAUGUCUCUCUCUGUUUGUCUCUCUGUCUCUCUCUGUCUCUCUCUGUCUCUGUUUGUCUCUCUGUCUCUCUCUCUGUUUGUCUCUCUGUCUCUCUCUCUGUUUGUCUCUCUGUUUGUCUCUCUGUCUCUCUCUGUCUCUCUCUCUGUUUGUCUCUCUGUCUCUCUCUCUGUUUGUCUCUCUGUCUCUCUCUCUGUUUGUCUCUCUGUCUCUCUCUGUCUCUGUUUGUCUCUCUGU